AUUGAACGCUGGCGGCAGGCUUAACACAUGCAAGUCGAACGAGUGGCGGACGGGUGAGUAAUGCUUGGGAAUCUGGCUUAUGGAGGGGGAUAACUACUGUAAACUGUAGCUAAUACCGCGUACCAUAGGAUGAGCCCAGGUGGGAUUAGGUAGUUGGUGAGGUAAAGGCUAACCAAGCCGGCGAUCUCUAGCUGGUAUGAGAGGAUGACCAGGCACACUGGGACUGGGAAACGGCCCAGAACCCUACGGGAGGCAGGAGUGGGGAAUUUUGCGCAAUGGGGGCAACCUGACGCAGCCAUGCCGCGUGAAUGAAGAAGGCCUUCGGGUUGUAAAGUUCUUUCGGUAGCGAGGCGUUAACUACAGAAGAAGCACCGGCUAACUCCGUGCCAGCAGCCGCGGUAAUAC
rnacentral:rRNA from 1 species